UGCCAGCAGCCGCGGUAAGACGGAGGGUCCUAGCGUUGUUCGGAAUGACUGGGCGUAAAGGGUACGUAGGCGGUUUGGUCAGUUAGAUGUGAAAGCCCAGGGCUCAACCUUGGAACUGCAUUUAAUACUGCCAGACUUGAGAUCGGAAGAGGAAAGCGGAAUUUCUAGUGUAGAGGUGAAAUUCGUAGAUAUUGGAUGGAACACCAGUGGCGAAGGCGCCCAACUGGACCAUUACUGACGCUCAGGCACGAAAGCGUGGGGAGCAAACAGGAUUAGAUA
rnacentral:rRNA from 1 species